UACGUAGGGACCGAGCGUUGUCCGGAUUUAUUGGGCGUAAAGAGCUCGUAGGCGGUUUGGUAAGUCUGGUGUGAAAUCUCCACGCUCAACGUGGAGGGGCCACCCGAUACUGCCAUGACUGGAGUCCGGUAGAGGAGUGUGGAAUUCCCGGUGUAGCGGUGAAAUGCGUAGAGAUGUGGAGGAACACCGAUGGCGAAGGCAGCCCCCCUGGGCUAACACUGACGCUCAUGCACGAAAGCGUGGGGAGCAAACAAGG
rnacentral:rRNA from 1 species